UUACGGUCAUAUCACGUUGAAACACCGGUUCUCCCACGAUCACCGACGGUAAGCAACGUUGAACCUGGUCAGUACCUAGAUGGGUGACCACUUGGGAAUACCAGGUGUUGUAAG